GAGAAUGAGAAUACAACAGAAUAGCUGCAUGCAACCCACGGGUUUCCUAAUAGGAGAGUUGGUAGACACAAUCAGAAAGUCUCAUUGGAAGGGGAGGAUCCGGUGGCAAAGGGAGCACAUAGUGCCAUGGUAUUUGGGUGGGUGCAGAUGAGUCCUUGUCCUGGAAGUCAGUCCAUUGAAAAACAAUGUGAAUUCCCGGUUUUGAGAGCCUUGUUGCUGUCAAAUCUUCUUUCUUUUAAAUGCGGGUGGAUAUACCACAGAACCCUUGUAUAAGGGCAAAGUCAAAAUAGUACUUUUUAAAAUGGUGCCCUUGCUGUGAGGAGCAGAGCACUUCCAAAACUCAGGGGACCAUCUUAGGUCUCAGGUGAGCGAUGCUGCUAUUAGUUUUUCCUCCUUGCCCGUGAUCUCCUCCCAACACGCCAGCGCAACUCUGCUCUGCGGUAAAGUCGAAUUAAGAUGGAGAAAGCUUGCUGCUCUUUGAGGACCCCAGUUUCCUGUUUCAUCACUGACGUGAUUCCAGACAUCAAAAAAGACAAAAAAAAAAAAAAAAAGCACAUAAAUAAAUGUGAGUGGAGAUGAGGAAAAUGUCGAAGGCAAAUAGCAUCAAUGGACAACCCUCACUCUUCCUAUCCUUGGGCCCUUCACCAUCUGAAAAUUCCUCCUCAGGAUACAGGCAGCUAACAAUGAAUAAGAUGUGACUGACUCCUUUUGGACUGAGAUAACUUGGAAGCAAGUGAACCCCCAUUCUUUGGCCAGUUGGAUUUUUGUUCUAGGGAAAGUCUUCAGAGUUGGAAUGAGUCUUGAAACAAUAUCAGAAGAGGCAAAUUGUGUGCAGUAGCAGCCCCGUCAUUAGAAUGAAACACAGUUUUCUUAUGGAGCAUCCUAUCCCAGAGGUUAUAAGAUCAGAAGAGGGGAAAGGGGGAGAGGAGGGUAGUUUUCAGUAGUUCAUGACUUCACAUUCUAGGGAAGCAAAAUUUUGAUAACAUCUGAUAUUAAAGUACUUUUCUAUCAUAGCAAGAAAGACAAUACAAAAAUAUCUCUAAUCCAUUAUAUAUUUUAUAUUUAGUGUAAACUUUAUUUUAUCAAUGUGAUAUAUAUUAACCUAGACUUAAAAGUCAAGUUAUUAUUUUUUAUAGCAGCAGUACUUUGACCCAUUUCAUCUACUGAUAAUUCUUGUUACUAGGAGGGACCACUUUUUUGAAUAUCAAAUGUGCGUGUGUGUGAAAGGAUAAGAGUUUCUGGCAUGGAGUAAGUAAGCACUAUAUGUGUCAGCUCAUAAUCAUUUCAUUGCUGUUGGCUAGAUUUCAAUGUUUGGCAUGUCUACGACAUCCUCCUAUGAAAGAUGAGGUAUUAAUUUUUUUUUCUUUAAAAUCAGAUUUUCUUUUUGUCUUUUUUUUUUUUUUUUUUUUUUUUAGGGCUGAGGCACAUGGAAGUUCCCA
rnacentral:lncRNA from 1 species